UCAGCUGUGGGUACAGAAGGCAGGACUCAGGACAAUCUCCAGCAUGGCCUGGUUCCCUCUCCUCCUCACCCUCCUCACUCACUGUGCAGGGUCCUGGGCCCAGUCUGUGCUGACUCAACCUCGCUCAGCGUCUGAGGCCGCCAGGAAGAGUGUCACCAUCUCCUGUUCUGGAAGCAGCUCCAACAUCGGAAGUAAUUAUGUAUCCUGGUACCAGCAGCUCCCAGAAACGGCUCCCAAACUCCUCAUCUAUUAUGAUGAUCUGCGAGCCUCAGGUGUCUCUGACCGAUUCUCUGGCUCCAAGUCUGGCACGUCAGCCUCCCUGGCCAUCAGUGGGCUCCAGACCGAGGAUGAGGCUGAUUAUUACUGCGCAGCAUGGGAUGAUAGCCUGAGCGGUUGGCUCUGCAGAGGAGGGACCUGGCUCACCGUCCUAGGUCAGCCCAAGGCUACCCCCUCGGUCACUCUGUUCCCGCCCUCCUCUGAGGAGCUCCAAGCCAACAAGGCCACACUAGUGUGUCUGAUCAGUGACUUCUACCCGGGAGCCGUGGAAGUGGCCUGGAAGGCAGAUGGCAGCGCUGUCAACGCGGGAGUGGAGACCACCAAACCCUCCAAACAGAGCAACAACAAGUACGCGGCCAGCAGCUACCUGAGCCUGACGUCCGACCAGUGGAAGUCCCACAAGAGCUACAGCUGCCAGGUCACGCACGAAGGGAGCACCGUGGAGAAGACAGUGGCCCCUGCAGAAUGUUCAUAGGUUCCCACCCCUCACCCCACCCACGAGGGCCUGGAGCUGCAGGAUCCCAGGAGAGGGGUCUCUCUCUCUCUCUCUCCAUCACAAGGCAUCCAGCCCUUCUCCCUGCACUCAAUAAACCCUCAAUAAAUAUUCUCAUUGACAAUCAGAAAUCUUGUUUCAUCUCAUUUUUUCCUAACUUCCUAGCCUUCCCAGGCAUCUCAGUGUGGGGUACAGGAAAUUCUGCAUCUAGUGUCAAAGUUACCCAAGAGGAGGAGGCUCACAGCCUCCCAGAGUCAUCUCCCCAAAGGGUCCUUCCUCUCCCAGUCACCCCUCCCCCAACUCUCCACUGUACCCCUGAGCCACCAGCCUGGCAUCAGUUCAGACCAGUCCCACACCUUCCUCAAUUUUACUUCUCAACAAAGACCUGAUCAUGUAAAACCCA